GAUGAACGCUAGCGGCAGGCUUAAUACAUGCAAGUCGUGGGGCAGCAGGUUUGUAGCAAUACAGAUGCUGGCGACCGGCAAACGGGUGCGGAACACGUACAGAACCUUCCUUUGAGCGGGGAAUAGCCCAGAGAAAUUUGGAUUAAUACCCCAUAGUAUAAUGAAGUGGCAUCACUUUAUUAUUAAAGAUUUAUCACUCGAAGAUGGCUGUGCGGCUGAUUAGGUAGUUGGCGGGGUAAAGGCCCACCAAGCCUGCGAUCAGUAACUGGUGUGAGAGCACGACCAGUCACACGGGCACUGAGACACGGGCCCGACUCCUACGGGAGGCAGCAGUAAGGAAUAUUGGUCAAUGGAGGCAACUCUGAACCAGCCAUGCCGCGUGGAGGGUGAAGGUCCUCU
rnacentral:rRNA from 1 species